rnacentral:misc_RNA from 1 species
ACACCUCAACUCUCAUGGUCCGCCAUGAUGAGCUUGGACUUUGGGGGUAUUGCUGGCCUAACCGUCGGCUCCUCUCAAACGAAUCAGCUUGCCAGUGUUUGGUGGCGUCAUGGGUGUGAUAACUAUCUACGCUCGUGGUCUUCCACCAAGUAACCUUCAGUGAUGGAGGUUCGCUGGAGCUCACAGACGUCUCUCCUCAGGGAAGACAGCUUUUUGAAC